UCCGCCGUGGCCCCAGAUCCUCCCCGCACCGCCGUUUUGAGCGUUUACACUCAUUACCCCGAUAUCUCCCCACAAACCUAAACAAUUUCGAGAGGGACUUGUGUUCUGCAGCCAGUCACAGAAUAUCAGGUGAGCUGGGCGCUCCUCUCCGCCCUGCUUAGAAUCACUGGAAUGACCGUUCUGUGGCUACAGCCCUAAAAGAGCUACUAAAAAGACCAGAAGUAGUAUGAGAACUCAUGAAUACAAAUAUAAAUAAAAGACAUCUGGAGAA
rnacentral:antisense_RNA from 1 species